rnacentral:rRNA from 1 species
ACCUGAAACCGUGUACGUACAAGCAGUAGGAGCCUCUUUAUGGGGUGACUGCGUACCUUUUGUAUAAUGGGUCAGCGACUUAUAUUCUGUAGCAAGGUUAACCGUAUAGGGGAGCCGUAGGGAAACCGAGUCUUAACUGGGCGAAUGAGUUGCAGGGUAUAGACCCGAAACCCGGUGAUCUAUCCAUGGGCAGGUUGAAGGUUGGGUAACACUAACUGGAGGACCGAACCGACUAAUGUUGAAAAAUUAGCGGAUGACUUGUGGAUGGGGGUGAAAGGCCAAUCAAACCGGGAGAUAGCUGGUUCUCCCCGAAAGCUAUUUAGGUAGCGCCUCGUGAAUUCAUCUUCGGGGGUAGAGCACUGUUUCGACUAGGGGGUCAUCCCGACUUACCAACUCGAUGCAAACUGCGAAUACCGAAGAAUGUUAUCACGGGAGACACACGGCGGGUGCUAACGUCCGUCGUGAAGAGGGAAACAACCCAGACCGCCAGCUAAGGUCCCAAAGUCAUGGUUAAGUGGGAAACGAAGUGGGAAGGCUCAGACAGCCAGGAUGUUGGCUUAGAAGCAGCCAUCAUUUAAAGAAAGCGUAAUAGCUCACUGGUCGAGUCGGCCCGCGCGGAAGAUGUAACGGGGCUAAACCAUGCACCGAAGCUGCGGCAGCGACACUUAUGUGUUGUUGGGUAGGGGAGCGUUCUGUAAGCCUGCGAAGGUGUACUGUGAGGUAUGCUGGAGGUAUCAGAAGUGCGAAUGCUGACAUAAGUAACGAUAAUGCGGGUGAAAAACCCGCACGCCGGAAGACCAAGGGUUCCUGUCCAACGUUAAUCGGGGCAGGGUGAGUCGACCCCUAAGGCGAGGCUGAAAAGCGUAGUCGAUGGGAAACGGGUUAAUAUUCCCGUACUGGUGGUAACUGCGAUGGGGGAACGGAGAAGGCUAGGUUGUCCGGGCGACGGUCGUCCCGGUUCAAGCAUGUAGGCAGAGUGAUUAGGCAAAUCCGGUCACUUAAUGCUGAGGUGUGAUGACGAGCCACUAAGGUGGUGAAGCAAUUGAUGCCCUGCUUCCAGGAAAAGCCUCUAAGCUUCAGGUUACCAACAAUCGUACCCCAAACCGACACAGGUGGUCAGGUAGAGAAUACUCAGGCGCUUGAGAGAACUCGGGUGAAGGAACUAGGCAAAAUGGUGCCGUAACUUCGGGAGAAGGCACGCUGGCGGUAAGUGAAGUCCCUCGCGGACGGAGCCGAAGCCAGUCGAAGAUACCAGCUGGCUGCAACUGUUUAUUAAAAACACAGCACUGUGCAAACACGAAAGUGGACGUAUACGGUGUGACGCCUGCCCGGUGCUGGAAGGUUAAUUGAUGGGGUUAUCCGUAAGGAGAAGCUCUUGAUCGAAGCCCCAGUAAACGGCGGCCGUAACUAUAACGGUCCUAAGGUAGCGAAAUUCCUUGUCGGGUAAGUUCCGACCUGCACGAAUGGCGUAAUGAUGGCCAGGCUGUCUCCACCCGAGACUCAGUGAAAUUGAACUCGCUGUGAAGAUGCAGUGUACCCGCGGCAAGACGGAAAGACCCCGUGAACCUUUACUAUAGCUUGACACUGAACAUUGAGCCUUGAUGUGUAGGAUAGGUGGNGGCUGUCUCCACCCGAGACUCAGUGAAAUUGAACUCGCUGUGAAGAUGCAGUGUACCCGCGGCAAGACGGAAAGACCCCGUGAACCUUUACUAUAGCUUGACACUGAACAUUGAGCCUUGAUGUGUAGGAUAGGUGGGAGACUUAGAAGUGUGGACGCCAGUCUGCAUGGAGUCAACCUUGAAAUACCACCCUUUAACGUUUGAUGUUCUAACCUAGGCCCGUAAUCCGGGNGGAGACUUAGAAGUGUGGACGCCAGUCUGCAUGGAGUCAACCUUGAAAUACCACCCUUUAACGUUUGAUGUUCUAACCUAGGUCCAUAAUCUGGAUCGGGGACCGUGUCUGGUGGGUAGUUUGACUGGGGCGGUCUCCUCCUAAAGAGUAACGGAGGAGCACGAAGGUUGGCUAAGCAUGGUCGGACAUCAUGCGGUUAGUGCAAAGGCAUAAGCCAGCUUGACUGUGAGAGUGACGGCUCGAGCAGGUACGAAAGUAGGUCUUAGUGAUCCGGUGGUUCUGAAUGGAAGGGCCAUCGCUCAACGGAUAAAAGGUACUCCGGGGAUAACAGGCUGAUACCGCCCAAGAGUUCAUAUCGACGGCGGUGUUUGGCACCUCGAUGUCGGCUCAUCACAUCCUGGGGCUGAAGUAGGUCCCAAGGGUAUGGCUGUUCGCCAUUUAAAGUGGUACGCGAGCUGGGUUUAGAACGUCGUGAGACAGUUCGGUCCCUAUCUGCCGUGGGCGUUGGAAGAUUGAGAGGGGUUGCUCCUAGUACGAGAGGACCGGAGUGAACGCACCACUGGUGUUCGGGUUGUCAUGCCAAUGGCAUUGCCCGGUAGCUAAGUGCGGAAGAGAUAACCGCUGAAAGCAUCUAAGCGGGAAACUUGCCUCGAGAUGAGUCUUCCCUGUCACCUUGA